rnacentral:piRNA from 1 species
UAGAAGGAUGGGAAUACCUGUGGUCUC